UCUCCGUAGGUGAACCUGCGGAGGGAUCAUUACAGAGUUCGCGCCCUCGCGGGUAGAUCUCCCACCCUGUGUUAUUCCUACCUUUGUUGCUUUGGCGGGCCGCCCUCGGCUACCGGCCCCGGCUGGUACGCGCCCGCCAGAGGACCCCAAACCCUGAACGUCAGUGUCGUCUGAGUACUAUACAAUAGUUAAAACUUUCAACAACGGAUCUCUUGGUUCUG
rnacentral:misc_RNA from 1 species